rnacentral:rRNA from 1 species
UACAGAGGGGGCAAGCGUUAUUCGGAAUUAUUGGGCGUAAAGGGCGCGUAGGCGGCUUUGCAAGUGACGGGUGAAAUCCCUCGGCUUAACCGAGGAACUGCCUGUCAGACUGCAUGGCUUGAGACCGGGAGAGGGGGGUGGAAUUCCCAGUGUAGCGGUGAAAUGCGUAGAUAUUGGGAGGAACACCGGUGGCGAAGGCGGUUCUCUGGGCCUUACCUGACGCUGAGGAGCGAAAGCGUGGGGAGCGAACAGG